rnacentral:rRNA from 1 species
CCUUUACUCGGGGAUAGCCUUUCGAAAGAAAGAUUAAUACCCGAUAGUAUAAUGAUUCCGCAUGGUUUCAUUAUUAAAGGAUUCCGGUAAAGGAUGGGGAUGCGUUCCAUUAGGUUGUUGGUGAGGUAACGGCUCACCAAGCCUUCGAUGGAUAGGGGUUCUGAGAGGAAGGUCCCCCACAUUGGAACUGAGACACGGUCCAA